rnacentral:rRNA from 1 species
GACGAACCGAGCGAACGUUGUUCGGAAUCACUGGGCUUAAAGGGCGCGUAGGCGGGUGCUCAAGUCCGUGGUGAAAUCCUCCGGCUCAACCGGAGAACUGCCUCGGAUACUGGGCGUCUCGAGUGUGGUAGGGGUAUGCGGAACUAUCGGUGGAGCGGUGAAAUGCGAUUGAUAUCGAUAGGAACUCCGGUGGCGAAGGCGGCAUACUGGACCACCACUGACGCUGAUGCGCGAAAGCCAGGGGAGCAAACGGG